rnacentral:rRNA from 1 species
GCUCGUAGUUGAACCUUGGGCCUGGCUGGCCGGUCCGCCUCACCGCGUGCACUGGUCCGGCCGGGCCUUUCCCUCUGGGGAACCGCAUGCCCUUCACUGGGUGUGUCGGGGAACCAGGACUUUUACUUUGAACAAAUUAGAUCGCUUAAAGAAGGCCUAUGCUCGAAUACAUUAGCAUGGAAUAAUAGAAUAGGACGUGUGGUUCUAUUUUGUUGGUUUCUAGGACCGCCGUAAUGAUUAAUAGGGACAGUCGGGGGCAUCAGUAUUCAAUUGUCAGAGGUGAAAUUCUUGGAUUUAUUGAAGACUAACUACUGCGAAAGCAUUUGCCAAGGAUGUUUUCAUUAAUCAGGAACGAAAGUUAGGGGAUCGAAGACGAUCAGAUACCGUCGUAGUCUUAACCAUAAACUAUGCCGACUAGGGAUCGGACGAUGUUAUAUUUUGACUCGUUCGGCACCUUACACGAAAGUAAAGUUUCUGGGUUCUGGGGGGAGUAUGGUCGCAAGGCUGAAACUUAAAGAAAUUGACGGAAGGGCACCACCAGGGGUAAACGUCCGCAGACUCUGCCCCUAAUAGCAGCCCAGCGAUGGGUCAAGUGGUGUGCCUUGGCUACUUAUUCGAGGCCGAAAAUUGCUAGUCUGCUUACUGCAGGCGACACCUUCAAACUGACGGGGAACCCCUAAAGCUUCCAGCGACCAAGCGGCGGUCGAAAGGCGCGUCCGUGGCCAGACUAAUCACCUGGGUAUGGUAAAACCCGCUGGAAGAUGUACCAAUGGCAAUCCGCAGCCAAGCUCCUAACCGGCGUCACCGCCGGCACGAGAAGGUUCAGAGACUUGACGGAGGUGGGUUCGUACGCUCAGUACGGG